GGGGGGGGUUUAUAUAGGGGGGGUGGGCCGCUCAGAUUGAACGCUGGCGGCAGGCCUAACACAUGCAAGUCGAACGGUAGCACAGAGAGCUUGCUCUCGGGUGACGAGUGGCGGACGGGUGAGUAAUGUCUGGGAAACUGCCUGAUGGAGGGGGAUAACUACUGGAAACGGUAGCUAAUACCGCAUAACGUCGCAAGACCAAAGAGGGGGACCUUCGGGCCUCUUGCCAUCAGAUGUGCCCAGAUGGGAUUAGCUAGUAGGUGGGGUAACGGCUCACCUAGGCGACGAUCCCUAGCUGGUCUGAGAGGAUGACCAGCCACACUGGAACUGAGACACGGUCCAGACUCCUACGGGAGGCAGCAGUGGGGAAUAUUGCACAAUGGGCGCAAGCCUGAUGCAGCCAUGCCGCGUGUAUGAAGAAGGCCUUCGGGUUGUAAAGUACUUUCAGCGGGGAGGAAGGCAGUACGGUUAAUAACCGUGUUGAUUGACGUUACCCGCAGAAGAAGCACCGGCUAACUCCGUGCCAGCAGCCGCGGUAAUACGGAGGGUGCAAGCGUUAAUCGGAAUUACUGGGCGUAAAGCGCACGCAGGCGGUCUGUCAAGUCGGAUGUGAAAUCCCCGGGCUCAACCUGGGAACUGCAUCCGAAACUGGCAGGCUUGAGUCUCGUAGAGGGAGGUAGAAUUCCAGGUGUAGCGGUGAAAUGCGUAGAGAUCUGGAGGAAUACCGGUGGCGAAGGCGGCCUCCUGGACGAAGACUGACGCUCAGGUGCGAAAGAUCUCC
rnacentral:rRNA from 1 species